rnacentral:rRNA from 1 species
UACGUAGGGGGCAAGCGUUGUCCGGAUUUAUUGGGCGUAAAGCGCUCGCAGGUGGUACGUUGCGUCGUGCGUGAAAGACCCCGGCUCAACUGGGGAGGGUCGUGCGAUACGGGCGGACUGGAGGCCAGUAGGGGGAUGCGGAAUUCCGGGUGUAGUGGUGGAAUGCGUAGAGAUCCGGAGGAACACCAGCGGCGAAGGCGGCAUCCUGGACUGGUCCUGACACUCAGGAGCGAAAGCGUGGGGAGCGAUCCGG